rnacentral:rRNA from 1 species
AGUGAACGCUGGCGGUAGGCCUAACACAUGCAAGUCGAACGGCAGCACAGUAAGAGCUUGCUCUUACGGGUGGCGAGUGGCGGACGGGUGAGGAAUACAUCGGAAUCUACUUUUUCGUGGGGGAUAACGUAGGGAAACUUACGCUAAUACCGCAUACGACCUACGGGUGAAAGCAGGGGAUCUUCGGACCUUGCGCGAUUGAAUGAGCCGAUGUCGGAUUAGCUAGUUGGCGGGGUAAAGGCCCACCAAGGCGACGAUCCGUAGCUGGUCUGAGAGGAUGAUCAGCCACACUGGAACUGAGACACGGUCCAGACUCCUACGGGAGGCAGCAGUGGGGAAUAUUGGACAAUGGGCGCAAGCCUGAUCCAGCCAUACCGCGUGGGUGAAGAAGGCCUUCGGGUUGUAAAGCCCUUUUGUUGGGAAAGAAAAGCAGCAGGUUAAUACCCCGCUGUUCUGACGGGACCCAAAGAAUAAGCACCGGCGAACUGCGU